UUUAGUUACUCUGAAGUCACCCAAGUUGCAGCCCCUGCUGAUCUCUGCAGGAACUUGAGCCUCAUAUAAGGGCAAGGCUCCGCUUACCCUCCAGUCAGCUGCUCAGCUUCCCACCCGCCAGCAUGAGGCUCCACCACCUUCUGCUUGCAUUCUUCUCCGUGCUCCUGCUGUCUGUGCCAGGUUCUUCUAAUUACAUAAGUCCUCAA